rnacentral:rRNA from 1 species
GCAAGUCGAGCGGUAGCACAGAGAGCUUGCUCUCGGGUGACGAGCGGCGGACGGGUGAGUAAUGUCUGGGAAACUGCCUGAUGGAGGGGGAUAACUACUGGAAACGGUAGCUAAUACCGCAUAAYGUCGCAAGACCAAAGUGGGGGACCUUCGGGCCUCAUGCCAUCAGAUGUGCCCAGAUGGGAUUAGCUAGUAGGUGGGGUAACGGCUCACCUAGGCGACGAUCCCUAGCUGGUCUGAGAGGAUGACCAGCCACACUGGAACUGAGACACGGUCCAGACUCCUACGGGAGGCAGCAGUGGGGAAUAUUGCACAAUGGGCGCAAGCCUGAUGCAGCCAUGCCGCGUGUGUGAAGAAGGCCUUCGGGUUGUAAAGCACUUUCAGCGGGGAGGAAGGCGUUAAGGUUAAUAACCUUGGCGAUUGACGUUACCCGCAGAAGAAGCACCGGCUAACUCCGUGCCAGCAGCCGCGGUAAUACGGAGGGUGCAAGCGUUAAUCGGAAUUACUGGGCGUAAAGCGCACGCAGGCGGUCUGUCAAGUCGGAUGUGAAAUCCCCGGGCUCAACCUGGGAACUGCAUUCGAAACUGGCAGGCUAGAGUCUUGUAGAGGGGGGUAGAAUUCCAGGUGUAGCGGUGAAAUGCGUAGAGAUCUGGAGGAAUACCGGUGGCGAAGGCGGCCCCCUGGACAAAGACUGACGCUCAGGUGCGAAAGCGUGGGGAGCAAACAGGAUUAGAUACCCUGGUAGUCCACGCCGUAAACGAUGUCGAUUUGGAGGUUGUGCCCUUGAGGCGUGGCUUCCGGAGCUAACGCGUUAAAUCGACCGCCUGGGGAGUACGGCCGCAAGGUUAAAACUCAAAUGAAUUGACGGGGGCCCGCACAAGCGGUGGAGCAUGUGGUUUAAUUCGAUGCAACGCGAAGAACCUUACCUGGUCUUGACAUCCACAGAACUUUCCAGAGAUGGAUUGGUGCCUUCGGGAACUGUGAGACAGGUGCUGCAUGGCUGUCGUCAGCUCGUGUUGUGAAAUGUUGGGUUAAGUCCCGCAACGAGCGCAACCCUUAUCCUUUGUUGCCAGCGGUUCGGCCGGGAACUCAAAGGAGACUGCCAGUGAUAAACUGGAGGAAGGUGGGGAUGACGUCAAGUCAUCAUGGCCCUUACGACCAGGGCUACACACGUGCUACAAUGGCAUAUACAAAGAGAAGCGACCUCGCGAGAGCAAGCGGACCUCAUAAAGUAUGUCGUAGUCCGGAUUGGAGUCUGCAACUCGACUCCAUGAAGUCGGAAUCGCUAGUAAUCGUAGAUCAGAAUGCUACGGUGAAUACGUUCCCGGGCCUUGUACACACCGCCCGUCACACCAUGGGAGUGGGUUGCAAAAGAAGUAGGUAGCUUAACCUUCGGGAGGGCGCUA